AAAAAUCUUACUAACUAUAUUUGUUUUACUAUUUGUACUCAAGAUUUUAUCUUAAGUACAGCGGCUCUGCUCGAAGCCGUAUAGCGUCAAAAUGACGGUAUUAUGAAUUGUAGCAAGGUGCGGGUCUACCUUUCAAAAGGCUCGGCGGUACUCUGUGCGGGUAUUCUAACAACGAUAUAAUUUAGAAAGUAAGCUAAAUCGGGACUUCUGGGGCGGAGUACAGAAGAAUAGACGAACUAGUCUAUGUUAGAAUAAGU
rnacentral:ncRNA from 1 species